rnacentral:rRNA from 1 species
UACGGAGGGUGCAAGCGUUAUCCGGAUUCACUGGGUUUAAAGGGAGCGUAGGUGGGUUGGUAAGUCAGUGGUGAAAUCCCCGAGCUUAACUUGGGAACUGCCAUUGAUACUAUCAGUCUUGAAUACUGUGGAGGUUAGCGGAAUAUGUCAUGUAGCGGUGAAAUGCUUAGAUAUGACAUAGAACACCAAUUGCGAAGGCGGCUGGCUACACAAUUAUUGACACUGAGGCUCGAAAGCGUGGGGAUCAAACAGG